GGACUAAUCCAGGCAGUACAUGUGUUGUGAGACUUAGUGAAGAAACACUUGAAAAUGGAAGGAAAAUGUUUGUAGCAUUUUUUAUCUGCUUUGAUGCAUUUAAGAAGGCCUACCUUGAUGGUUGUAGAGGUGUAUAAGGUUUGAUGGUUGUUUUUUGAAAGGUGUUUGUAAAGGGCAAUUACUUGUGGCUGUUUAUAAGGAUGGGAAUAAUCAGAUGUUGUCAUUGGCUUGGGCGGUAGUUGAAGUUGAAAACACAUAUAAUUGGAGAUGGUUUGUGAACCUUUUAAAGAAUGAUCUGGAGCUUGGAGAUAGGACAAAGUUGACUGUUAUUACAGAAAUGCAGAAGGGAUUUGACAAAGAAAUCAGUGAGGUCCUCCCACAAGCAGAACAUAGGAUGUGUGCCAGGCACAUCCUAGCAAACUGGUCAAAAAAUAGAGAGGCAUUGAGAAGAGGACCUAUUUUUGGAGAUGUGCUAGGUCAACUUAUAAACAAGAGUUAAAGAAAAAUCUUGAUCACAUGGAGAAACUAGGAGAUAAAAUAAUUGAGGACCUGCUAUACUAUAACAAAGAGAGGUGGUGCAAGGUGUAUUUCAAGUAUUUCAGCAAUUGUGACAGUAUUGACAACAAUUUGGCCGAAACAUUUAGUUCUUGGAUAGUGGGGCCAAGGCACAAGACAUUCAUCACAAUGCUUGAAGUGAUUAGGGCGAAGAUGAUGAUAAGAAUAACACAAAUAAGGGAUUUCUGUGAUACUUGGAUCAGUGACAUUUCUCCAAUGGCACUGAAGGUGUUGCAGGAGAACACAACAAAAUGAAUGAAAUGUGUGGUGCACUGGAAUGGUCAAUAUGGUUAUGAAGUGAAGGAGGGACAAACCAGUAAGCAUAUAGUGAAUCUGAACAUGCUAACCUGCACUUGUAGAGCUUGGAUGCUGAAGGGUAUACCAUUUGCUCAUGUUAUAGCUGCUAUCCAUUUCAAGAAAUUGGAGCCAGUUAACUACAUUUCACAUUGUACCAUAGGGAGACUUAUAUGAAAACAUACAAUCAUUUUCUUUGGCAUGUUCAAAAUAUGGAGAUGUGUCCACAGUCACAAAACCCUUUAGUUAUACUACCAGAAGUAAGAGUAAUGCCUGGCAAGCCCAAGAAAGUGAGAAGGAAGGAACAUACUGAAAACAAAAAAGGGAAAGCUUUCCAAAAGAGGUACACAGCUGACUUGCAAUAACUGUCAUGCCAAAGGCCAUAACAAGAAAGGUUGUCACAAGGCUACACAAGGUAUUGCAAGAUCAACUGGUGGUGCAAAGUCAUCAAGUGUUGGUUCUUCAUCAACACCUUCAUUUCAAAAUGUACCAAAAAUAGGAACAGGAAGAGGAAGAGGAAGAGGAAGACGAAGACCAAGAGGUUUAACAAAACAGGAUAUUGCUACCGGUAUAGGAAGAGGGACACUGUAUAAAAGGCCAAGAAUGAUUGAUAUGAGAAUUCUACA